AGGAAAUUCGCAGCGAUCUGGAAUGUAAAACCAAGUAUAACAAAGGGGCUACUAGGGAUGACUAGGCAAUGGAUCGGAAUGAGGUCUAAUCCAAACUGUCGAAUCCGAUCAAGGGUAUGUUAAUCAACCCGGUCUCGACGAUCAAGGCCAAAAGGUGCCUCACUUACCCUGGGAAUUGAAACAUCUUAGUACCAGGAGGAAAGGAAAUCAACCGAGACUCUACAAGUAGUGGCGAGCGAACGUAGACAAGCUAUCUCUAUCAGCUUAGACAACCUCUGUUUACGUUUAUGCGUAGCAGCAGGUAGCCUUUGGACAAAGACAUAAACAAUAGCUUGGAAUAGCUAGCCACAGAUGGUGAUAGCCCAGUGAUGAUAUGACUUUGCUCCUUUUUGGCAGUGAAUUAAUUCCUUAGAGAGAAUUGGCGGCUUGUCAAGCUGCUUUUUUUAAUACCCUGUCUAUUAAGGCAGGAAAGGUGUACCAUCAUCAAAGCUAAGUAUGCUCCAUUGACCGAUAGUGCAGAGUACCGUGAGGGAAUGUUGAAAAAGCAGGUAGUAAACUGGUGAAAAGCCUGAACUAGUGGCUCCAUAAGCAGCUGGAAUCAUAACAGCCAUUGACUCCAAUUCAAUGUGUGAUGACAGCGUACCUUUUUACCAACCAUUAGACCCGAACCCAGGUGAUCUUGCCAUGGCCAAGUGCUAUUUAAUAAGACUGAACGGGUGUCCGUUGCAAGGGACUCCGAAGAGCUGUGGCAAGUGGUGAAAAGCCAAUCUAACCUGGAGAUAGCUGGUCUUCUGCGAAACCCGUUUUAGCGGGUCGCCCAUUUAUUAAAUUCGUUACUAGACGGUACGGCACUGGAAGCCACGCGGCUUUUGCUGCAUAAUCGGGGGGCUGUCAUGGCUCUAUCGAUGGCUUCUAACCCCGGAAAUGUAUAGUAUACAAUGAUGGGUAAUCAGACGUAUCGUGAUAAGGCGAUUUGUCAAAAGGGAAACAGCCCAGAACAGGUGUGAAGGUCCCUAACAAGCUACUGAGUGAACACAAGGCAGUCCUCACCAGUGUCUCUCCACAAAGUGGGCUUUGUGGAAGCAGCCACCUUUUAGCGAUAGCGUAACAGCUCAGUGGUCUGAGCCUCUCUGGCCUGGUGAGGGCGCCAAAAAUGUAACGGGUCUAUAGUAGUUGUCUCUCUGUUCCAGCUUUGGAUAUGAGGGAGUGGCAGUUUCUUCACUGUCUCACCGAAACCCUGUCCUAGAUGUAAAAUUCUAGGGGUAGCAGAAUACCCAGCAAAUGGAAUGAAGCUUGCUCAUUGAGCCGGUGGACAUAGCUGGGCUAAGAAUGCUGACAUGAGUAGCCUAAAAGGAGGGUAAUUCCCUCUUCGCCGAAAGCAGAAGGGUUUCAUUUGUAAGGUCUAUACCUAGAUGAUUAAAGCAGCGGCCUCUAAGGUUCAGAGUAACAAAUUAGUUCCGAUGAGUAACUCUUCUAUAGGGCAGUAACCUUUCUUAUAAGUUUACCUUCAAGUAAUUAGAGGUAUACUUCAAAGAGUAAGGUUCGGGAAAGAGCCCUAUAGUAACUUAAAACCGUACCCUAAACCGACACAGGUCUGCAAGUAGAGCAUACUAAGGCGUAGAGAUAAUCGUCUUGAAGGAACUCGGCAAAAUGACCCCGUAACUUCGGGAGAAGGGGUGCCACUAAUAAGUGGCGGCACAAAACAGGGGGGCGCGACUGUUUACUUAAAAGUACGACCUGCAAAGCUAUCAGAUACAAUAUGGUGCGUGCUGUAGAAUUAUAGAAAUAAUAGAUACUUGAAAAUAUAAAUUCUUAGAUUCCGAUCCGAGGAGCAGAUAGAAAAGGAAUGAUUAGAAUUCCCUUAUUAAGAACGUAUUUUAAUUACCUUUUGCUAAAUUAGGUUUAUAAUUAGAUUAUUCUAUUCCUCUAUCUUUCUAUAAAGGAGUUAUAAUCUCCUGUUUGCACAAGCCCAUUAUGGAAGUAAAUCUCCAUAAGCUUACCUACGGUUGCAUAGUUGGUAACGAUUAUGUGAUAAGUUGUAGGGACAAUGUAAGACAUCUAUUUAAGCACAAAAUAGUACACUGCUAAGCUAGAUUACUAUGGAUAACGAAAGUGAACAUACAUUGAGGCGUCGUUAAAACAGAAUAUCGAAAGUGUUUGAUACGAUAUCUUGAGUAUUGGAUUAAUCUGCUUUUAAUAGAUUAAUUGAUUUACCAUUAUAUGCUCCGGCGUAGAGUAUGAUCCUAAGGUAAUCAUAAAGGUGUAUCUGAUGGAACAGGCUAACCCCAAUGAUCUCCUAUUUAGGUAGGAUAAAAGUGAUUUUAUCUAUUUGAUCAGUGGGGAGAGGACAGUGCAAAAAGCGAAGGCCAUUCUGUAAUGGAAAGGAUAGAAUCUAUUAUGAUUUACUUCGAAAGAAGGCCUACUUGCACAAGGAUGUUGAAAUUCAAUAAGAAAUUGAUCUUUUUCUAUUUAUUUAUCUAGUAAUGAGUAUGUUGGUAUUUCACUUAAAGCUAGAAAUCAAUUAAAUGAUGUACCAACUAUGGAGGCUAAACUAUUGAAGAAAAAAGAUAAUGAUCUAUUCCUGAGUAAUCUAUUUCAAUGUUUGAGCCGUAUGCGGUGAAAGUCGCACGUACGGAUCUGAGGAGGGGAAAGAGAGAGAUCUCCUACCUAUUCCAACCACCGGACUCUGCUAACACUAGCGUGGAUGUAUAGAGUCUGAUACCUGCCCGAUGCUAGAUAAUCAACUAAGCCGUUAUAUGAUGGCAAAGGAAGCUCUAGUCAAUGGCGGCUGUAACCUUGACGGUCCUAAGGUAGCGAAAUUCCUUGGCAUUUAAAUGAUGUCCCGCAUGAAAGGUUUUAACGAAGCUCCUACUGUCUCCAAGACGAACUCGGCGAAAUUGAAUUAUCCGUGAAGAUGCGGAUUACCUCCAGCUAGACGAGAAGACCCUUUGAAGCUUGACUGCAACUAGUUAGUGUGUAACCGCUACUAAGGUACAAAGGGAGUCGACUAGACGAGAUACCUUGAUCUUUGUAGUAGGUUUCACUAUAAAUGCUGGCUAGUGGGCAGUUUGUCUGGGGCGGCAAUCCUCACCUAAAGUAACUGAGGAGUCCGAAGGUGUGCUUUGCUAGGUUGGAAACCUCUCUAUGGCUAUGGUGAGCCUAAAUAAGCGCAAUGGUAUAAGCAUGCUUGACUGUGAGACCUACAAGUCUAUCAGGUACAACCCUUUCUAUUUACCCCUUCAUAAAUCAGGUCUCUCACGGCUAACCUUACCUUCUUUCUUAUUUCAUCACUUGUUAGCCUUGGUUCACAAGUUUGUUUUGUUUAAAGUAGUAAAGGAAUGGAAGUAGGGGUAAUUAGGUAUAAAGGGUAUAGGUAACUAGGGCAUAGUGACCCGGUGAUACAUUAUGGAAUGUUCAUCGAUCAACGGAUAAAAGCUACUCAAGGGAUAACAGGCUGAUCCUCCACGAGAGUCCAUAUUGACUGGGGGGAUUGGCACCUCGAUGUCGGCUCAUCCUAUCCUAGAGCAGUAUAAGGUUCUAAGGGUUCGGCUGUUCGCCGAGUAAAAGGGUACGUGAGCUGGGUUAAGUACGACGCGAGUCAGUACGGCUUCUAUCUACUGGAGGGAGUUGGAAGUAAGGAGGAAGCUAUUUUUAGUACGCGAGGACUUAAAUGGAGUGACCUCUGGUUUACCAGUUAUCAACAGCUAAUAAAGCUAUGGUAUGGCUGGAAAGCUACGUCACGAAUAGAUAACUGCUGAAACCAUAUCAAGCAGGAAACUACUCCUCUAUACUUCCUUUGAAACUUAGGGUAGACCACCCUAUUGAUAGGACCUGGGUGUAAUAGCAGUAAUGCUUUUAGCCUCGGGUUACUAAUUGUUAAGCAACUUGGUUUUACCAGAU
rnacentral:rRNA from 1 species